CCUACGGGUGGCAGCAGUGGGGAAUAUUGGGCAAUGGGCGCAAGCCUGACCCAGCAACGCCGCGUGAAGGAAGAAGGCUUUCGGGUUGUAAACUUCUUUUCUCAGGGACGAAGAAAGUGACGGUACCUGAGGAAUAAGCCACGGCUAACUACGUGCCAGCAGCCGCGGUAAUACGUAGGUGGCAAGCGUUAUCCGGAUUGAAUGGGUGUAAAGGUCGUGUAGGCGGGGAAGCAAGUCAGAGGUGAAAACCACGGGCUCAACCUGUGGCCUGCAUUUGAAACUGUUUUUCUUUAGUCCUGGAGAGGCAGACGGAAUUCCGAGUGUAGCGGUGAAAUGCGUAGAUAUUAGGAGGAACACCAGUGGCGAAGGCGGUCUGCUGGACAGCAACUGACGCUGAGGCGCGAAAGCGUGGGGAGCAAACAGGAUUAGAUACCCAGUAGUC
rnacentral:rRNA from 1 species